UAUACGGGUCAUUCCAUGGGGUUGGGGCAAAAAUUGUGACAUCAGGGUCAAAAAAUAGAAAUGUAAUAAAUGAAAUGUUUUAUUUCUUAUAUGUUUCAUGGGACAAUCCUUCAACUAAAUCCACUUACAGGCAUUUCAUACCACCCUGCAUAUUGGAGUAAACUGAGAAAUAAGAUUUGACAAAAUACCACCGUUACAUGGACAUCAUUUAUCAUCCUUACUAAGACUAUGCUCUCCCACUGUCAAAAUAAAGGGGUUGAUCUCCAUUACUCUUGAUAAAUAUUUUGCUAACAAAAUUGUUAGUCACUUUAUUCCACACUUUUCAACAUGGCAUAUAUAUUUUGAAAGAUUUAGCAUCAAUAAUUGGAACUUGAUGCUCUGUGUGUAUACCAGUGCCAUGUUCUGUGUCGUUCUUUUUUCUCACCAGUCUAGAAAAUUGAAUUUAUGAUGGCAUGUAGAACUAAAUAGUUGAGAGAAGUCAUGCCUCAACAGAAUGGAUUAUUCUCUUUGGAAAAACUAAACUACUCUUUCUGGCAUAACCUUCUAUUUUUAGUGUUACCACCGUUACAUGGACAUCAUGUCUCAGUAACAGAGGUAUACUUAGAAGCAAUGUUAAGUUAAUGUCCAUUAAUGGCCAUUACACACCAAAUUCCACUUCAUGCCUUAGAAUAUUUGCACAAGAUCAAUUGAUUAUACUAAAAAACAUUUUUCAUGUCAAAUUCUUUGCAAAUAAAAGCAAUUUAGAUUAGAGUUUAAACAAGGAAAAAUGUACAAAAUUAUUGAUAAAUUUAUAUUUAAAAUAAUACUAAGGUAAUCCUCAAGGUUCCACUUCCGUCUAUCUCUGGAAACAAAUGUUUCUGUCUAAAGGGGAAAAAACAAAAGAGUGCUAGCUUAUGAUCUCCAAAUCUUUAUUACUUUAAAAUAUCUCCUUCACGAUAUUACUUUCAAAUGUACAUACCUCCGUUACAUGGACAUCAUGUCCUUGUAAUGAUCAUAUUGAAUAGUAUUACAUGUACUUGCCAUUCUUUUAGUAUCAACACACUAAUGCGAGUUAACUCAUCUUACUCAAGUGUAGAAAUACAACAUCUACAGGCAAGCUUCUAAAAUGCAUCAAUGAACAGGUUACAAGUUUAUGAACUUCAAGAUGAUCGGUGACCCAAUGACAACUGUGUGGAAGAGGACUCUGUCAAUGUCACAAAAUAGAUACAGGUAGAAUUGUGCCUCGCCAUCAGGCCAGGAGUACAGGUCACCAGAUUGACACUUCAUGUACUGAAGAUAUAUAAUUUUACCUUCAACAGAGGCUACCUGUAG